GGGACUGUAGCUCAGUGACAGAGCGCUUGCCUAGCAUGCAUGAGGCACUGGGUUCUAUCCUCAGCACCA
rnacentral:tRNA from 1 species